CACGAAUGGCGUAAUGAUGGCCAGGCUGUCUCCACCCGAGACUCAGUGAAAUUGAACUCGCUGUGAAGAUGCAGUGUACCCGCGGCAAGACGGAAAGACCCCGUGAACCUUUACUAUAGCUUGACACUGAACAUUGAGCCUUGAUGUGUAGGAUAGGUGGGAGGCUUGGAAGUGUGGACGCCAGUCUGCAUGGAGCCGACCUUGAAAUACCACCCUUUAAUGUUUGAUGUUCUAACGUUGACCCGUAAUCCGGGUUGCGGACAGUGUCUGGUGGGUAGUUUGACUGGGGCGGUCUCCUCCUAAAGAGUAACGGAGGAGCACGAAGGUUGGCUAAUCCUGGUCGGACAUCAGGAGGUUAGUGCAAUGGCAUAAGCCAGCUUGACUGCGAGCGUGACGGCGCGAGCAGGUGCGAAAGCAGGUCAUAGUGAUCCGGUGGUUCUGAAUGGAAGGGCCAUCGCUCAACGGAUAAAAGGUACUCCGGGGAUAACAGGCUGAUACCGCCCAAGAGUUCAUAUCGACGGCGGUGUUUGGCACCUCGAUGUCGGCUCAUCACAUCCUGGGGCUGAAGUAGGUCCCAAGGGUAUGGCUGUUCGCCAUUUAAAGUGGUACGCGAGCUGGGUUUAGAACGUCGUGAGACAGUUCGGUCCCUA
rnacentral:rRNA from 1 species